rnacentral:rRNA from 1 species
AGUUGGAUUUCUGUUGAGGUCGGGCGGUGUACGCUUCGCGUAUUAUUUGCCUUUGACUCGGCAUCCUCUUGGGGAACGCUCGGGACUUUAUUGGAUCGCCGGAAUUCACGACUUUUACUUUGAGGAAAUUAGAGUGUUCACGGCAGGCAAGUGCUUUGAAUACAUUAGCAUGGAAUAAUAAUAUAGGACCUUCGUUCUAUUUUGCUGGUUUCUAGAACUUACGUAAUGAUUAAUAGGGACAAUUGGGGGCAUUCGUAUCAACGCGUCAGAGGUGGAAUUCUUGAAUUGCGUUACGACGAACUACUGCGAAUGCUUUUGUCGAAGAUGUUUUCAUUGAUCCUAUUCAAAGUACGGGGAUCCAAGACGCUCGAUACCGUCGUACUCUAUACCAUAAAUCGUGCCAACUAAGGAUCUUUCGGGUUAUCCAAAGUGGGUCCAUCAGCAAUUUUUGAGACAUCCAAGGUCUAGGGUCCCGCGGGGCCCUUGUCAGGGAGGGUGACACUCAACGAACUGACAGAAGAAUUCAACGCCAGGGGGGCCCCCCGCUUAACUUGACUGCGCGUUGAUAACUUACAAGGCGCCCCCUAGUCGGGUUGAGAUAUGGAGGAAGCGGCUCGGUCUAUGGCGGCGCUCAUGGGGGGGGAGUGGUGGAUGAUCGUCUGGUUCAUCCCCUAAUCAAGUAGCUCUUAAUCUGUUAAUACGCGCAGUACCGCCGACAUAACAUGCUCCUCCUCGCAGCAG